rnacentral:lncRNA from 1 species
GCCUGGUCUACACAGAGUUCCAGGCUAGCCAGGGGUACACAGUGAGACUUUGUCUCACAAAAUAAAAAAAACUACAAAAACAAAGCCAGCUGUAAUGGCACACACCUUUAAUCCUAGUACUCAGGAGGCAGAGGCAGUCUGAUUUGAGUGAAUUUUAGGCCAGCCUGGUUUGAAUAGUGAGUUCUAGGAUAGCCAGAGCUGCAUAGUGAAAGACUGUCUCAAAAAACCAUUUUGUUUUUUUUGUUUUGUUUUGUUUGUUUUUUUUUUUAAUUUUUUUUUUAAGAUUUAUUUAUUAUAUGUAAGUACACUGUAGCUGUCUUCGGACACACCAGAAGAGGGCCAUCAGAUCUCAUUAUAGAUGGUUGUGAGCCAUCAUGUGGUUGCUGGGAUUUGAACUCACGACCUUCAGAAGAGCAGUCGGCGCUAUUAACCGCUGAGCCAUCUCUCCAGCCCUUGUUUUUUUUUACAACAAAAAUCUAGAGGAAGUGGAUGGACUCCAGCAGGAGGCAGAGCUUCAAGUGAGGAGAAUGUGGGAGUGGAAGAGGGACGAAGACACGUACAGAUCAUAUGUGCACUGGGAACAGAGGCGCCGCGGCGUCUAGAGCAGCCUAUGGGUCUGUCAGAAGGGACACUCCAAAAAGGACAGAAGAAACUGCUGAGUUGGGGGUCUGCCUAUGGUGGCCUGCCGAUGUCUGUUUUAGAACUAAGCAGCUGGGUGGGAGUCCCACAGAGUCUGAGAGAAGGUUCCUCUCAUCCUCACCCGGAAACGAAAUUUAACUUCAGCUUUCCACUCCGGGUCCAGGCUCCUCCCUCCAGGCUAUUUGCACAGUCGGUUCAGAAAAGACAAGUCCGGUGCGCCCCCGCGCGGUCACGAAAGGAAACACACGUCCUGCUGUGGCAGGCGCCUGAGUGGGAAAGGUGAGGUCUGUGUGGCGCCCCCUGUAGGCUGCGCUAGACAUCGCAGGCGAGUUAAUCUGUGGAUGCCGCGGGUGACUCGCUCACUCACCUGGUGCCUUGUUAGACAAUCAGCUGAAUGAUGGUACACAACAGUGGGAGCAAGGAGGACAAAAGAAAGGCAGGGAAUAACAUCGUCUCUUGUAAACUACGAAAAGAGGUCAGUAUCCCCUCUCCCCCUUUAUUUCUGAGAUUUUGAUUGUUUGGUUUGGUUUUUUUGAGACAGGGUUUCUCUGUGUAGCCUUGGCUGUCCUGGAACUCUCUCUGUAGACCAGGCCUUCAACUCACAGAGAUCUGCCUGCCUCUGCCUCUCAAGCACUGAGGCUAAAGCCGUGCACCACCCAGCUGUUUUCCCAUUUAAUAUACACAUCUAACAUAGAAGCAAAACCUGAGCCAGGAAUGGUGGCACACGCCUUUAAUCUCAGCACUGGGGAGGCAGAGGCAGGCAGAUUUCUGAGUUCGAGGCCAACCUGGUCUACAAAGUGAGUUCCAAGGACAAAAAAGAAAGAAAGAAAAAAGGAAGCAAAACCUGACCUCCAGGGAGAUUAAGUGAUCUGUCAAGAGAGUUGUCUGGUUGGUUGCUUUGUUUGUUUGUUUUUGUUUUUGUUUUUUUUUU